UACGUAGGGUGCAAGCGUUAUCCGGAAUUAUUGGGCGUAAAGAGCUCGUAGGCGGUUUGUCGCGUCUGCUGUGAAAACCGGAGGCUCAACCUCCGGCCUGCAGUGGGUACGGGCAAACUAGAGUGCGGUAGGGGAGAUUGGAAUUCCUGGUGUAGCGGUGGAAUGCGCAGAUAUCAGGAGGAGCACCGAUGGCGAAGGCAGAUCUCUGGGCCGUAACUGACGCUGAGGAGCGAAAGCGUGGGGAGCGAACAGG
rnacentral:rRNA from 1 species